GCGCAUCUGGUGUAGUGGUA
rnacentral:siRNA from 1 species